GGGUGUGAGGGCGAUCUGGCUGCAACAUCUGUCACCCCCACUGAUCGCCAGGGUUGAUUUGGCUGAUCUGGCUGGCUAGGCAGGUGUCCCCUUCCUCCAUCACCGCUCCAUGUGCGUCCCUCCGGAAGCUGCGCGCUCGGUCGAAGAGGACGACCAUUCCGGAUAGAGGAGGACCGUUCUCCGUCAAGGGUGUACAUGCAGCUGCGCUCCCUGCUAGACCCUCCAAACGAGCUCUCGGAGAAUGGUUCUGCUGAGGGCCUGCCUUGUUCUAACACCAAACACAGUGUCCUGUGGAGUACCGCACGGGCGAGUGA
rnacentral:snRNA from 1 species